rnacentral:misc_RNA from 1 species
AGCAGCCGCGGUAAUUCCAGCUCCAAUAGCGUAUAUUAAAGUUGUUGCAGUUAAAAAGCUCGUAGUUGAAUUUCGGGGUUAGUAGGUUGGUCAUGCCUCUGGUAUGUACUGGUCUCACUGAUUCCUCCUUCCUGAUGAGCCGUAAUGCCAUUAAUUUGGUGUUGCGAGGAAUUUGGACUGUUACUUUGAAAAAAUUUAGAGUGUUUAAAGCAAGCUAACGCUUGAAUACAUUAGCAUGGAAUAAUGAAAUAGGACGUUCGAUCCUAUUUUGUUGGUUUCUAGGAUUGACGUAAUGAUUAAUAGGGAUAGUUGGGGGCAUUAGUAUUCAAUUGUCAGAGGUGAAAUUCUUGGAUUUAUUGAAGACUAACUACUGCGAAAGCAUUUGCCAAGGAUGUUUUCAUAAUUCAAGAACGAAAGUUAGGGGAUCGAAGACGAUCAGAUACCGUCGUAGUCUUAACCAUAAACUAUGCCGACUAGGGAUCGGAUGAUGUUAAUUUUUUUAAUGACUCAUUCGGCGCCU